rnacentral:rRNA from 1 species
GGCGUAAAGCGCAUGCAGGUGGUUAAUUAAGUCGGAUGUGAAAUCCCCGAGCUCAACUUGGGACCUGCAUUCGAAACUGGUUAGCUAGAGUCCUGUAGAGGGGGGUAGAAUUUC